rnacentral:tRNA from 1 species
GGCCAUAUCGUCUAGGGGUUUAGGACGCCGCCCUCUCACGGCGGUAACGGGGGUUCGAAUCCCCCUAUGGCUACCA